GCCUUGGCACUAGGAGCCGAUGAAGGACGGGACUAACACCGAUAUGCUUUGGGGAGCUGUACGUAAGCUAUGAUCCAGAGAUUUCCGAAUGGGGGAACCCAACAUCUUUAAUAGGAUGUUACGAUUGUGUGAAUACAUAGCACAUUCGAGGUAGACGCAGAGAACUGAAACAUCUAAGUACCUGCAGGAAGAGAAAGAAAAUUCGAUUCCCUGAGUAGCGGCGAGCGAAACGGGAAAAGCCCAAACCAGCAAGCUUGCUUGUUGGGGUUGUAGGACUCCAAUAUGGUAGUUCUUUCAGAUAGUCGAAUGACUUGGAAAAGUCAGUCAAAGAGGGUAAAAACCCCGUAGACGAAAUGUGGAAGACACCUAGGAGGAUCCUGAGUACGGCGGAACACGAGAAAUUCCGUCGGAAUCCGGGAGGACCAUCUCCCAAGGCUAAAUACUCCCUAGUGACCGAUAGUGAACCAGUACCGUGAGGGAAAGGUGAAAAGCACCCCGGAAGGGGAGUGAAAUAGAACCUGAAACCGUGUGCCUACAACAAGUCAAAGCCCGUUAAUGGGUGAUGGCGUGCCUUUUGUAGAAUGAACCGGCGAGUUACGAUUGCAUGCGAGGUUAAGUUGAAGAGACGGAGCCGCAGCGAAAGCGAGUCUGAAUAGGGCGUUUGAGUAUGUAGUCGUAGACCCGAAACCAUGUGAUCUACCCAUGUCCAGGUUGAAGGUGCGGUAAAACGCACUGGAGGACCGAACCCACGUACGUUGAAAAGUGCGGGGAUGAGGUGUGGGUAGCGGAGAAAUUCCAAACGAACUUGGAGAUAGCUGGUUCUCUCCGAAAUAGCUUUAGGGCUAGCCUCGGAAUUGAGAAUGAUGGAGGUAGAGCACUGUUUGGACUAGGGGCCCAUCUCGGGUUACCGAAUUCAGAUAAACUCCGAAUGCCAUUCAUUCAUAUCCGGGAGUCAGACUGUGAGUGAUAAGAUCCAUAGUCGAAAGGGAAACAGCCCAGACCACCAGCUAAGGUCCCAAAAUAUAUGUUAAGUGGAAAAGGAUGUGGGGUUGCACAGACAACUAGGAUGUUGGCUUAGAAGCAGCCACCAUUUAAAGAGUGCGUAAUAGCUCACUAGUCGAGUGACCCUGCGCCGAAAAUGUACCGGGGCUAAACAUAUUACCGAAGCUGUGGAGUACACCUUUAGGUGUAUUGGUAGGAGAGCGUUCUAAGGGCGUUGAAGGCAGAUCGUGAGGACUGCUGGAGCGCUUAGAAGUGAGAAUGCCGGUAUGAGUAGCGAAAGACAGGUGAGAAUCCUGUCCACCGAAUGACUAAGGUUUCCUGGGGAAGGCUCGUCCGCCCAGGGUUAGUCGGGACCUAAGCCGAGGCCGACAGGCGUAGGCGAUGGAUAACAGGUUGAUAUUCCUGUACCCGUUGUUUUUGUUUGAGCAAUGGAGGGACGCAGGAGGCUAAGGAAUGCAGACGAUCGGAAAUGUCUGUCCAAGCAGUAAGUCUGAAGAGGAGUCAAAUGCUUCUUUUCUUAAGGACAAGCUGUGAUGGGGAGGGAAAUAAUAGUACCGAAG
rnacentral:rRNA from 1 species